UCUUCUUCACCAUAACCGGAUCUGUGUCCAGAUUUCCUGCCCAUGGACUCCAGUCUGACUGGUUUCUGUGUGGUGGUUGAGAGCUGGGCAUUUCGACGAGCUUGGAGCCAUCUUUUUUUUUGUGUGGAUGGCCUUUACGGUUUCCGGUCGACAGAUCUCAGAUCAAUUGUCUGCGCCUUGUGACGCGGGUCUUGAGCUCCCACUGGUGAGCUCGGCUUGAUAGCUUGGUGUCGGACGGCGUCAUAUUUCAUAUCUCUUUGCCGAUUGGCCGUUGGCCGCUGAGGUUAGGGAAUAACCAUGACUUGCCAACAUCU
rnacentral:sRNA from 1 species